rnacentral:rRNA from 1 species
CCUACGGGCGGCAGCAGUGAGGAAUAUUGGUCAAUGGGCGAGAGCCUGAACCAGCCAAGUCGCGUGAGGGAGUACUGCACUAUGUGUUGUAAACCUCUUUUGUCGGGGAGCAAAAGCCGGACGUGUCCGGCUGUGAGAGUACCCGAAGAAAAAGCAUCGGCUAACUCCGUGCCAGCAGCCGCGGGAAUACGGAGGAUGCGAGCGUUAUCCGGAUUUAUUGGGUUUUAAGGGUGCGCAGGCGGAUUUUUAAGACAGCUGUAAAAUCGUGGGGCUCAACCCCAUGCAGCCGUUGAAACUGGAGAUCUAGAGUGUGCGAGAGGUAUGCGGAAUGCGUGGUGUAGCGGUGAAAUGCAUAGAUAUCACGCAGAACCCCGAUUGCGAAGGCAGCAUACCGGUGCACAACUGACGCUCAGGCACGAAAGCGUGGGUAUCGAACAGGAUUAGAUACCCCUGUAGUC